UUUUUUUUUUUUUUUUUGUCUUUUCUAGGGCCACACCCGCUGCAUAGGGAGGUUCCCAGGCUAGGGGUCUAAACAGAGCUGUUGCCGCCGGCCUACACGACAGCCACUGCAACACAGGAUCUGAGCCACAUCUGCGACCUACACCACAGCUCAUGGCAACAUGGUAUCCUUGACCCACUGAGGGAGGCCAGGGAUUGAACCCGUAUCCUCAUGGUUCCUAGUCGGAUUCGUUAACCACUGAGCCACGAUGGGAACUCCAUAAGUCCGCUUUCAAAUAACACUACACCACUUCACAGGUAUGUCGUAAUAAAAUAAUUCUCAUUUCUUUCCUCUCACCCCUUGUCUGAUUGCUCUCAUUCAUUUCAUGUAUGUAUAUAUAAGCAUACAUAAGCAUAUACAGCUACACAUAAUUUUGUAAGUUUUUCUUUUUUUCUUGUGAUGGCCAGACUUGAUGUACGAGGUAAAAGAACGGCUGUAAAUAGGCCUUUGGUACUGUGCUGGUGAGGUGUGGGGGAGGGGAGCAUUCUGUAGUCCUAUGAUCCUGGGUGUCUCUUAGUGAGCCUCUUCCUCUGGACCAUGAAUUUCACAAAUGUCUCUCUUUUUUAUUCUCCCCCUUAGGUGGGAUGGUGUGGCUGGCGUGGGCUGGAGGUGGGUAUUUCCCUUUCCAAGGUCAGUUAGGCUCUGAUCAUACCCUGGCAGGUUAGGCUGUGGUUAACUAGUUUCCCCUGGGGGGCAGAGCUUGAUAAUAAAGGAGUGCUCUGAUUUAUUUCAAAAUGCUUCCUUUCCUUCUCCCCUACCGGAAAGCUCAAGGGGAUUUUUCUCUGAUAUUUACCGUGGGAACCUGGCCAACCUCCAAGAGGAAAAUCUCACACUAUUGUUGGGGUCCCCUUAUGACUGGGUCCUCCUGGAGUUUUUGCGGUGUUGUUGUCCCCAUGGAGCUUCCAGCAAUUCAUCAAUCACAGAUUAGGUUUUUCUACAACCUCACUCAUUCCUGCAGUGGUUUUGCUAGCGAGUCUCUGCUCCAGUAAGCCGUGAUGACCUGUAUUCACCUGUCUGUCUCUCUGAUCUUGGAGGAAGCGGUUUGCACUGUAUCCUUCCUCUCUCACAGAGCAAAGAAGAAUUGUUGAUUUUUCAGUCUGUUUGGUUUUUCAUUGGCUGUUAGGAUGGAGAAACAGCUACCAAGCUCCUUACGUAUGAAACCAGCAACGUCAAUGACUUGUAACAUCGAUUCAGCUCCUGAGUUUGAAUGGUAGUUGCGUAUCACAAUGAAUUUUGACUUUAUGCGCAUAUUUCUUUUAAUAGUUGUCCGGUUUAAUUCAGAAAGUACUUAUUGUACACAAAUAAUAUUCCAGCUUUGUGCUUUCUAUAGAGGAAAACCAAAGAAAUACAGUCCUUUCCCCAGCAUGUUUAUAAUUUCAUCAAGGUAAUAGGAUAUACACUUAGGAAAAAUAUUAGCGAGUUGGCACAUGGCUAAAAGUAAAACCUGUAGUCCGAGUAACGAGAGCUGGAGGAAGUCAGAGUGGUUACCAGGUGGACCAGAAGAAAAGACAAGCUUCCAGGAGGAAGCUUUGAAGGUAAGCAGGAUUUGGACAGCCCACAAGAAAUAAGAAAAUGGUCAAACCUGGGUAAAACAGGAGUUCCCAUUGUGGCUCAGUGGCAACAAACUCAACAGGGGAUCUGGCAUUGCCAUGAGCUGCCGUGUAGGUCGCAGACAUGGCU
ensembl:lncRNA